rnacentral:rRNA from 1 species
CCUACGGGAGGCAGCAGUGGGGAAUCUUGCGCAAUGGGCGAAAGCCUGACGCAGCCAUGCCGCGUGAAUGAUGAAGGUCUUAGGAUUGUAAAAUUCUUUCACCGGGGACGAUAAUGACGGUACCCGGAGAAGAAGCCCCGGCUAACUUCGUGCCAGCAGCCGCGGUAAUACGAAGGGGGCUAGCGUUGCUCGGAAUUACUGGGCGUAAAGGGAGCGUAGGCGGAUAGUUUAGUCAGAGGUGAAAGCCCAGGGCUCAACCUUGGAAUUGCCUUUGAUACUGGCUAUCUUGAGUUUGGGAGAGGUGAGUGGAACUCCGAGUGUAGAGGUGAAAUUCGUAGAUAUUCGGAAGAACACCAGUGGCGAAGGCGACUCACUGGCCCAAUACUGACGCUGAGGCUCGAAAGCGUGGGGAGCAAACAGGAUUAGAUACCCUGGUAGUCCACGCCGUAAACGAUGAGUGCUAGUUGUCGGCAUGCAUGCAUGUCGGUGACGCAGCUACGCAUAAGACACUCCGCCGUCGGGAGGUACGGUCGCGAGAAUAACGUACGAACGAAGUAGUACGGCGNGAGACGUGCCGACGGACGACGACGAGGGAGGAGG